AAAGUCGUAACAAGGUUUCCGUAGGUGAACCUGCGGAAGGAUCAUUAACAAAUCUUUUAUAUGUACAGCGCGUACAUAUAUAUUUACCCCGAGCCUGGCAGUAAUAUGCCGGCUUUGGUUGGGCAGGUGCGCAAGCAUUUGCUCCGGUCGUGUGCGCUUCAGGGCCUCCGGGUCUUGAUGCAUGUGCAUGGCCACAUAGACGCUUGUAUGUUUGACAGAGUUACAGUUGUAAAACUAAAAUGACAACUUUUAACAAUGGAUCUCUUGGCUCUU
rnacentral:misc_RNA from 1 species